UGAUCUGGUUAUGAAUAACUUUGUAAUUUUGUACAUUGUGCCAUGUAAACCAGUCCGCAUUGAACGGCGUUUUUCCCUCCAUUCAAAAAUAUCACGCCUUCCCUCUUCGAUAAUAUCGAAGGUAAAACAUUCUGCGUUUGAGUAGCUUCCUUCCAUGAAACUUUAUUUUGAAGACAUGUUUACAAAAUAAUAUUUUUAAUGGAAGUAAAGUUCAAAUUGUG